UACGUAGGGUGCAAGCGUUGUCCGGAAUUAUUGGGCGUAAAGAGCUCGUAGGCGGUUUGUUGCGUCGGCUGUGAAAUCCCGAGGCUCAACCUCGGGUCUGCAGUCGAUACGAGCAAACUAGAGUGUUGCAGGGGAGACUGGAAUUCCUGGUGUAGCGGUGAAAUGCGCAGAUAUCAGGAGGAACACCGGUGGCGAAGGCGGGUCUCUGGGCAACAACUGACGCUGAGGCGCGAAAGUGUGGGGAGCGAACAGG
rnacentral:rRNA from 1 species